AGCGAACGAGCGAGCGAGCAGGUGGAGCAGGAAAGGAAAGACAUAGUUCAUAACUCUGCCUCUAUGACACCAACAAGCAGAGCUUCGUCUUCCAGAAGGCAUCUUGGUGCAGUCAACAAGUACCAGCUGUGUCACCGCGGUCUCUGCAUGAGCAAACAAUUACAGGACAGAGCCACACCUGGAUUUGUGCCUGCAAGUGAGGCUGCUCAGACAGACCACAUGACUGAUCCAACAAAGAUGGCUUCACACCACAAAUGGAAGAGCUUUAUUAUUCAGCAGAUUCAAAGCACUGCCAAAGAAUUUUGAAGGCUACACCCCUACUAGAGAUGAAGAUUGUUCAGAGUACCUAUUUUUUCUUCACAACAGAAUACUGUAUGCAGAAUCCAGUAUAGUGAAGCAGUG
rnacentral:lncRNA from 1 species